rnacentral:rRNA from 1 species
AUUGAACGCUGGCGGCAGGCCUAACACAUGCAAGCCGAGCGGAUGAAGAGAGCUUGCUCUCUGAUUUAGCGGCGGACGGGUGAGUAAUGCCUAGGAAUCUGCCUGGUAGUGGGGGAUAACGUUCCGAAAGGAACGCUAAUACCGCAUACGUCCUACGGGAGAAAGCAGGGGGCCUUCGGGCCUUGCGCUAUCAGAUGAGCCUAGGUCGGAUUAGCUAGUUGGUGAGGUAAUGGCUCACCAAGGCGACGAUCCGUAACUGGUCUGAGAGGAUGAUCAGUCACACUGGAACUGAGACACGGUCCAGACUCCUACGGGAGGCAGCAGUGGGGAAUAUUGGACAAUGGGCGAAAGCCUGAUUCAGCCAUGCCGCGUGUGUGAAGAAGGUCUUCGGAUUGUAAAGCACUUUAAGUUGGGAGGAAGGGCAGUAAGUUAAUACCUUGCUGUUUUGACGUUACCGACAGAAUAAGCACCGGCUAACUUCGUGCCAGCCGCCGCGGUAAGAC